ACCCACGUUCAGUGCAGACCCCCUCACAACUACUUUAGUUCCCCCGGCCAUGGGUCCAAAGGUCGGAGACACACUGCUGACAGUAGGAUCCACCGUAGUGAAGGAGCCACCGUUUACAAAUGCUACUCUAGAGUCAAUGACAAACUGGUGCCAUGGUAUGUAACCAGUGAUGAGGGGAGUGCAAGCCACGCCUCCUAAUGUAAGAAUGGAGUUCUGAACGUCGACAAAAGUUCCUCCGAAGUCAGUACCCCUCAAAGUGAUUGCUGUACCACCCUCAACUGGUCCUGAGGAUUGAGUAUAUGAUUUUGUAUGUCCUCGAUCAAUAGUGAGUUAAACAUACUUACUACUAAGCUCAUGAAGGAAAAAGCUUAGUAAUGCAAGUAUGAUAGAUCUAUACACUAUACAUAUGACAAUCACAUGCUGUAUGUACGCAUAAUGAUAGGUACGUAUAUUACGCUCACUGCAUUCUUACCCGACAUUGGAGUGAAUGAGUUGAUGACAGGGGCAGGAGGAUUGUCCGCCUCAGUAAUGAAAGUAUUGGAGCACUCUUGCCUCACCUCACAACUACCUCCACACCACCCACAUGCGAACUCUGACCCCAUUCUGACUGCAAUACAUUCCAAAUAUCCACUGGCCAAGUCACGACAAUCAUACAACGUCACUGUGUGUGUGGGUGUGGGGUGAACUAGUAGAUUGUCUAGACUAUCUGGAAGCGUCUAGCUAUCCACAUUAUUCAUGGUUGGCAGAUAAUUUUAUAAUGGUAUACCUGACAUGGUGUUGCUCAGUGUUUGGUUGAUAUCAUUCCCCGUCCAGGUUACCAUAACAACCACAAGGAAACUUCCAACACCAGGAGAAAGUGUGCCGAACUACAAAUUUUCAGAUGGAGCUCUCGUUCUCAUACUGAGCUGUCAGACUAACUCCAUUCACAACACAAUAGUACUCAAAGCCAUCUGUCUAUAUGGGGAGAUGAGGUUCCUGGUGGUCAGUCGAAGGUCCUGGGCCACCCUUACUGGUUGAGUGUACCCACCAGAGGGGGGCGUGUCCAACAAGGGGCACUCGGCAGUGAAGUCGUUGCCUGCAAACACCUGUACAGAGGGACGUAUAUACAGGUCAUCAUCAUGUCACUGAGCUCACCUGUAGGAAGUGAGAUACAUUCCUGCAAGGAGCUGAUGUUCCACUGCAUUGCUUGUUGAGGUUACACCAUCCACACGGAUUAUUUAUCCCAAGACAAUUCUUACAGCUGUAUACAACGGUGUCAUAAAGACAUAAUUAUCGUAUUUUCUCUAUAUAGACAAUGUUCUUAAAUGUGUUGAGCACACUAAUUAAGUUGUCACACUUUUUAAUGUUUUUAGUGUACAUGCAUUUGUUUUACUACACAGUUUACUAUAUCGCUAUAUAGACACGCCUGUGUAGGUUAUUUGUGAAACAGUUGGCAUUG